GAUCCUGGCUCAGGAUGAACGCUAGCGGCAGGCUUAACACAUGCAAGUCGAGGGGCAGCAUAAUGGUAGUAAUACUAUUGAUGGCGACCGGCGGACGGGUGCGUAACGCGUAUGCAACCUACCCUUUACAGGGGGAUAACACUGAGAAAUCGGUACUAAUACCCCAUAAUAUUCUGGGAGGCAUCUUUCGGAGUUGAAAGCUUUGGUGGUAAAGGAUGGGCAUGCGUUAGUAUUAGCUAGUUGGUAAGGGUAACGG
rnacentral:rRNA from 1 species